GUUUUUUUAUUGAAGCUGGAUGAAGGNUGGNGAGAAAAAUACUGUCUCUAGAAAAUUUAUUAUUAAAAUUAACUUUUAAGUUAAAAGGCUUAAAUUUUACUUAAAGACGAGAAGACCCUAUAGAGUUUUAUACCUAUAAUUAUAAUGAGUACUUGGUUAUUUUAUUUUCUUGUAUGAUUAGGUAUUUGGUUGGGGUGACUUAAAGAUUAAAUAAACUCUUUAAAUUUAUAAUCAUUGAUUUGUGAAUUUAUAAUCUAAUUUUUUAAAGUUAAAAUAAAUUACCUUAGGGAUAACAGCGUAAUUUCUUUUUAGAGUUCUUAUUGAAAGAGAAGUUUGCGACCNCC
rnacentral:rRNA from 1 species